AGCGAACGCUGGCGGCAGGCCUAACACAUGCAAGUCGAACGAACCCUUCGGGGUUAGUGGCGGACGGGUGAGUAACACGUGGGAACGUGCCUUUAGGUUCGGAAUAACUCAGGGAAACUUGUGCUAAUACCGAAUGUGCCCUUCGGGGGAAAGAUUUAUCGCCUUUAGAGCGGCCCGCGUCUGAUUAGCUAGUUGGUGAGGUAAUGGCUCACCAAGGCUACGAUCAGUAGCUGGUCUGAGAGGAUGACCAGCCACAUUGGGACUGAGACACGGCCCAAACUCCUACGGGAGGCAGCAGUGGGGAAUCUUGCGCAAUGGGCGAAGGCCUGACGCAGCCAUGCCGCGUCGAUGAUGAAGGUCUUAGGAUUGUAAAAUCCUUUCACCGGUGAAGAUAAUGACUGUAGCCGGAGAAGAAGCCCCGGCUAACUUCGUGCCAGCCGCCGCGGUAACAC
rnacentral:rRNA from 1 species